rnacentral:lncRNA from 1 species
UUUCGACAGGGAUGUAGCAGCAAAAUCAUCUCCCUGCACCAUUUCCAACUGCACUGAAUGAAGAAACUGGCCUCGCACAAUGCAUUCGGAUAACGUAUGUCGGCUUCUGCAAGGUUCAUCUCAAAAGUUCUCGGAGUAAUUGCUUGCAUUCGAUGUUCGAGACCAGUACUCCUUGUAAAGCUGCCCGAACAAUGAAUCUUCCUUGCCUACCAAUUUCAUAGGCUCAUCAUACUCUACCAACCUCCCUGUUAAUGUUGAAUGCAAAGAAUGUCAUGUAUUUCUCACAGCUCUUGUCGGUUCUCACUAAACAGUUCUUUGGAAGUUUAAGUUUACCGUCGCUUAUUGCCAGCACCAUCGUGCACUCCAUGACAGUCGGUAUCCGGUGGGCCACUGUUAUGACAGUGCAGUCUGCAAAUUCCUUUCGUAUGGUUCUCUGGAGGAUCGAAUCGGUUGCAUUGUCAAUAGACGCAGUGGCUUCGUCCAGGACUAGGAUCCGACUUCGCCUCAGCAACGCUCGUCCUAGGCAAAACAAUUGUCGUUGCCCCAUGCUCCAGUUAGAUCCGUCCUGCAUAACUGCAAUUUGAGUUUGUGUAACUGUUAAUGAUGGACAAUGAGCAUAUUAGGACUAAAUUUUGCUGUAUGAUUUAUUGUUACCUGGAGAUUCCAGGCCCUUCUCUUUUGCUUGUAUAGCCUCCCGGAGCUGACAUUUUCCAAGAACCUUUUUCCACAGAAAUUCAAUCAAUCAUGAAACGUAACCGCAAGUGCUUCCUUUUGCAUGGGGUAUAGUCAUUCAAGAUUUAGUUCAGGAGCUCUCAUUAGAUUCAACUUAUGCGCGGGGCGGUUCUUUUUAUAAUGCCAGUGCAGUCAGUAAAAGAAAGACCAUGUGCCAAUUGAACUUCGAGAGACGUUCAGAAUUUACCUCCCAUAUUUCCUCGUCAGUGUGCUCAGACAAGGGGUCCAGGUUGUAUCGAACUGUCCCACCAAAAAGUGUCGGAUCUUGCGGGAUGACCCCAAAAUGUGAUCUCAGGUCAUGAAGUCCAAUAGUGGCUAUGUCUAGGCCAUCGACAAUUAUUUUCCCGUCGGUAGGUUCCACAAGACGGAACAAAGCACUGAUGAGAGUUGUCUUUCCGCUACCGGUCCGGCCAACGAUCCCAAUCUUGUGCCCUCCUUUUAUUUCACAGCUUAUCCCAUGAAGAACGAGGGGAGAGUCAGGCCGAUACCUUACCUGUUAAUGUCUCGAUAAUCAAAACUAAGUGAACUACAAGACAAGUCCAGAAUGGAGAGGUGUGCUAAUAGUGCGUGUCUACCUUCAGAUCAUAAAUCUCAACAUUGCCGGAAGAAGGCCAGUCUGGCGCUGGUCGGCUAUCUUCGAUCACUUCUGGAGCUUCGCUUUGAAUGUGCAUGUACUGCUCUAGCCUUUCGACAGAGAUGAUCAAAUUUGAUAGGGAGCACUGGAAUUGGACCGAAAGGACCAAGAAGACAUUUAAAGAUAGACCGUACGACAGCGCCAUUCCAACAAAUCCUGCAUCAAAUGAUAAUCAGGCCUGACACCCACUAAAUCUUCAAAGUCGGAAGCCCAUUUUCUAGAUGAUAAUGAAAAGGGAAGUGAACCAACAUGUCGAUGCAUAGCUGCUUUGACAUUAGAUUAAAAAGUGCCGAAAUAAAAUGAUAAAUCUAUAAGAGCCAACCAUCUAGGGAAAGUCUCAAUAUGAAAACCUGAAUUGAGGUUUUACUAAUACGAACCAGAGGAAGAGGACCCGAAAUCAAGAAAAGUAAUUGCGAGGGCCGAGGACGUUAGGACAAUAGCGCACAGGACUUCCAGACGUUGGACCAGCCACUCAUUGGCUGAAAAACUGUGAAAAUACGGACUUGCAUUCGCAUCAAUAAGGCAAAGACUUCUUGAAAAGAAUCGGUCUUCUUGGCCAAAUGCUCUGAUUGUCAUCACUCCGGCCAUGGACUCAGUGAGGUGGCUUGCGAGUGUAGACUUGGUUGUGCCAUCGAGUCGCAUCAACUCAUUAGAAGAAGCGUAGUAGUAUUUCUGUAGUAAAAGAAAGAUAAAAGCUAAUGCUGCAUUAGAAUUUGAAUGAUAGGAAGAAGGCUCUCAGGAGGCAGGUGUGAAGAAUUUUGCCUAUUAAGGAACAAUUAAUUGAUUUGAGCCAUAAGCAUCACCUGUAUGAUCAGCGUCAAAUAAAUCAUGGGAAUGAUGACAAACAAAACCGGCCACGUAAGAAAAGCAAGUAUCAGAAAGCUCGAGUAGGUAUUCAUCGUGGACCCAAGGGUAAUGGUUAACUUGAAGGCCACAUCAACGUCGAUGAAGCUUAAAUCUGAAGAAACCUACAAAAUUCAGCAAAUAAUGUUAUUCAUCUUAAACAAUCUAAAAGUACGGCGACUUCAGAGUAUGUUCUUACCCGGCUGAGUAUUCUUCCCAAAGGAGUUGAGUCAUAAAAGGACAUUGGCGCUCGAAUAAGGGACUUCAACAACACAGAGAAUAUGGCGUUCGAUGCGCCGCAACCUAAAUAGACUAUGAAAUACGAUCUGAAAAGCAUAAAGAGAGCGAGGACAACACCAAUCCCAGUGUAAACGGAGUUCAACUCGACGGUGCUCACACUCAUAGUGUUGAUUUCAGAAGCCAACCAGUAAUUUUGCGCGAGCUGCCCAGCUAUAAAGACUAUGUGGGAUAUAGUUGCCAAGGUAAAAAGCAAAAAGCCCUUGUUGUGUUUCAGAUACUGCAAGCAGGGUUUGAAACCACUGUCUCCUAUCUCUCUUUCCUCCUGCUUAAUCAAUUGACUUCCUGGAGAGGCCUCCAGCUGUUCCUUUACAUAUAUUUUCCGGAUCUCCUCCUUCGAAUAUCCAGGCGUUCUGGACGAAACCAUUCUGAUUUGAUUUCCAGAACCAGCAGUCGUGUUAUGUGCGUUCACAAGCUCCUGAAAUUCUUGGCAUGAAGCCAUCAGCUGAUCGUAUGAGCCGGCACUUACAAUUUGCCCAGAUGACAUUAACUGUCAAGAAACACAACUGUUCAGGAACCCCAUGAACAAAUGAGAAAAGCGAAAAAUAGCUUCUUUUUCUUAUUAAUGAGCCAAAAAUCUGAAUUCGCCAGAGACACCGAAAAAAAAAAAUUCUUCCUUUGGGUUGAAUGAGUCACUGACCAAGAUAGAGUGAAAAGCUGGAAGAAAGUCAACUUGAUGCGUAACAAGCAAAACAGUCUUCCCCGAUAAAGCUUCCAUGACAUAUUCCUGCAACAACAAGUAAACAUCAAUUGCAUUCAUUUAGAACUUAAUGCAAAAACAAAAAUAAGUUUCUCUGUCCUUGAGAGAUCACAUUAAAUAAGCUCAUCGCUGUAUGAGCAUCCACGGCACUAAAGGGAUCAUCCAACAGAUACACAGCCGCAUCCUGAUAUAGAGCGCGUGCAAGUUGUAUCCUUUGCUUCUGUCCGCCACUCAAAUUGACGCCUCUCUCUCCUAUCUGAGUUUGAUCGCCAAAGGGAAACAUCUCAAUGUCCUUAGCUAGCGAACACUUCCGAAUUACUUCUCUAUAUUUGACAGGGUCCAGGGUGGAUCCAAAUAGGAUGUUUUCUUGUAUAGUCCCAGUCUGGAUCCAUGCUGUCUGAGACACAUACGCCAUCCUACCAUGAACGUGCACCUAAACACGGAUUAAGGCUUACCAGUAAAUCUUCAAUCACAUUUGCUGUUAAUUGUUUUAAUUAUGACCCGCUAUAUCAUAUAAUGCAAGUCAUUAUAAGCAUAAGAUGAACAGGCCAUAACAGGAAAUAAUACAAUUCUCUAGUUACAAUGUAUAACAAGUAACUCCCCAGAGGAGAAGAUUAAUCAAUGACUUACCAUGCCAUUGAUAUAUGGAACCUCUCCAAGAAUUGCAGCUAAAAGGGUAGAUUUCCCCGACCCAACUUCCCCACAUAUAGCUACUUUCUCUCCUUUUCUGACCGAUAAUUUUAUGUUCCUCAAUGUCGCCUUGGAGGUACAACUGUCCCAAGAAAUUUCACGUGAAUCCAAGAAAACAGCCAUUUCCAGCACCUCAUUAUCCCCCUGUUGCUUUGUUGGCUUAUUUUCCAAUUCGGGUGCAUCCAGAAAUUUGGCAAUCCGAGACAAUGAAACCUUAGCCUGGAUGAAGGACCCCACCACAUCGGGGAUCAAUCUGAUUGGUUCCUGAACGAUUCUUAAACUCGCCAAGAACAUGAAGACAUUGCUUGCGGUCAAAGGAAUGCCCAGGAAGUAGCAUGCCCAGAAAGUGAUGGCGGGAACCAAAACCGGUAAAGACCAAAACACGACGAUAUAGCAACCCUUUUGCCACAAAACGGCUGCUAUCCACUCCGAUUCGUCUUUCCUCAGCUCCUCAACGACUUUUUUGAAGUGCUUCUCCCAAGCAUACAACUUCAACACCUUCAUAUUCGCAAGCGCCUCCGCGAUUGCCUUCAGCCUUUUAUCUUGAGCCUCCAUGAGUUUUCUUUGAUACUUGAGUUGCAGUUUGGCCAACGGAGAAGUCACGAUGACAAUCAAUAUGAGUACCGUCAGAGCCGCCAAAGUUGCAAGGCCCACAGCAUAGUAAACAAUGGCUAAUGCGAGGCACAGCUGAAGGCUAGUUGACCAUAUUUGGUGAAACCAGUAAGGGAACUCACCGAUCCUAUAAGCAUCGGAAGUGACAUAAUUUACUAUCUGGCCCGGAGAGUGAGUCAUUUUCGCCGCACUGGAGAGCCGCAGUUGCUUCUGACAAAUCGCUGCACAUAGAAAAGAUCUUAUUCGGAGUCCAAUCAGUCUUGCUCUAAAAAACCACUGCCUUUCCGAUAGAGAUUCCAAGCAUUUGGCUAAGAACAAUCCUCCAGCUAGCACAUAACCCUCAUACUCGAAAGCCUCUUCACCAUCGGCAACAGCAAUGAAGGCUCUAAGGAACAAAGGCCCGGUGGAGAGAGCCAAGACCUUGGUCAAAGCAAAGAACCCGGUCAUCAAAAUACCUCUCCAUUCGCCAUAAAAUAUAGCAGACAAGAUAGAGUAGGUGUCAUAUGUCGUCUUCUUUUCUUUAUGCAGUUGCUCCAUGAACUUUGAGUAACAUGUUUCUGCUCGUUCUUCCAACCUCAGACGUGGAAUAUCCUCAUUUUGAAGGAUCUUCUCUUUGCCCAAUUUCAUUAGUGAAUUCAACCACCAAAAUGACAUCUUGCUGAAGAAUCCCGCCUUGGCAAAAGGAGUGACGUUAUCAUUCUGUUCUUUGUCCAGCAAAGGUUCAUACACGGUGCCAUUUUCGCGGUCCUCGCUGUUCUCCAUGUGACUGUAUCCUCUGAAAGCACAGAAAAGUAGCAGGAUCACUUUGGGAAACGAUGAAAUAUCCCACGCCAAUGACAAAGUGGUUUCCUUUAUUUACCAAAGGAAAACUACACAGAGAAAUCCUUCACACAAUGAGGCUAGUCUAGUAUCAUAUAAAUCCGAGCCAGUGGAAUGUGUGGAAGGUGUAGCCUCCUAAUGGUCAUGGUCAAAACUAGCAAUAACCAGCUGACCGCUUGGAACAGAAAGACUAGCCACUCAUGUAGAGGUACAAGAGUAGCAUCCUCAUUCAAUUUCCCGAAGAUCACUCAAAUUCUGAGUGCGGAAGAAUAAGUAAAAAGUGCGGUGGCAAUUGUAAUUUUCUUUGUGGACGACUUACGGAGCAAGACAAACAGGAUAUCAAGUCAAAUGACCAAAAUGUGGCUGCUAAAAGAAUAGGAAUCGAUAAUGGACGCGACCCCGGAGCUGCUGCUAUCUCCAACUUGACUUAGAGCACCGAGAGUCGUUGCAAAACACGGUCCACAAUUCUCCCCUGAUUAUACCACUUUCCUGGAAGACUGCAAUCCGGGAACAUGCUUCAUGACUAUUAUCGUGUUGUAAAGGGCAAGUUGCCUUUAAAUUCGAAUUACCAUAUGAAGGCUUGAGCAACAUAUAGCGUCUCGUUAACAAAUGCCCUUGAGCGCACCAAUUAAGGUUACUGAAAACAGUGAGAAUCAUCACGACAGCACGCCGCCGGACGCGACGAUGAGGGGUGAUUCGGCGGGAGGUCGAGUGGUCGAGGAGCGUGGAGACUGCGUCGAGCUUCAUUUGCAGCGAGAUGGCUUGAGGCCAAGCUCGAAACUCGAGCGCUACCCAAAGCUCCGGGUUUGAGGUCGAGCUUCAUGGCCAAAGCGGCCGUGGAUGAGUGUCGUCCAUGGCUGGCCACGAGUGUCAUCCAUGGUGGAUGGGAAAAAACGAUACCCAGGGAUCAAUAGCGUACCCGAAUGACGCCGACGACGGCCAUGGACGAGCGUUCGCGUGCUCGUGAGCAGGUCGUCCAUGGCUCUCCGCUGACGCUGCAAUCCACAGCGUAAGCGUCGUCCAUGGCCUCAAAAGGCAAAAAGAAAAUGAAUAAAUGGUGAGAGAGAGCGCUUCGUUGAGCGUAGGACGGAGCUUAACCGGAGAGAGAGGGUCGUUUAGAAAUUUUGAAUAAUCUAGUAUGUGGGCACUCGAAGAUACCGGAUGAAGUUUCAUAGACGCAACCAAAAUCAAGACUUCAAACAAGAAGAAGAAGAAGAAGAAGACGACGACGAAACACUCACUUCCAAGCUCUACCCAGCAAUCUUUGCCAAAACAGAGCAGACGAAGAAGGCAAAGGUCGACUCUGCUUUCACCGGACAAAACAGAGCAUCUCUUCUUGCUUGCAAAGAACACGUUAUUUGUGUCCGAGGAGCUUGAUCGGGGUGCAAAAACAAAGAUUAACUCCGACUUGCGAAAAUCAAAGAAACGCCAGGCUCUGCAAAUCAUGCAUGCAGAGAGAGACAGAGAGAGAAAGAGAGAGAGGCCCACCUUUACUUCGUUGCUACAGUUUAUAAUAUCAUGUACCCACACGAUUUUCGCGUUAAACGAGGGCCGUGGCAGGUGAGAUAGAUGAAUGGGACAGUUGGAUCCCCCGGUCCGCACUCCUCUGUUCUCCUGACUGUUCUUGGAGACGACGUGCGCGCGCGCGCGCGGCGCGACAGCGACAGCGACAGAGACGGAGACAGAGACAGAGACCAUAGCUAGUAGCCAAAAGUUUCGACGCCACUCGCGAGGACGCUUUGCAUUCAUGCAGAUUGCAGGGGCGCAACAACCGUCACAAGCGGCCAUUAACCACUCUCUGUUCCGGAGCACAGAGGAAAUAAAGACGAUGGCCUGCCUUGGAGUUUGAUCGACGCUUGCCCGCUCGAUCUUUCUGAAAUUCAAGUGACGGUGUCUGCUUAUGCUUCCAUGUAAAAAUUCUCAGAGGAAAACUAGUCGAGCAAUAAUAGCAUGGUCCAAAGCACACUUGCUAGAAAGAUUAGUUGAAAAUAAUUGAAGUAGUCAUUGAAAGGGUUUUAAAAGUAAUAAAUGGAUGAGGUCCGAGGACCCUAUGCAAGUGCCGGUGACCCUUGCCCCUAGGCGAGGGCAAGUAACCCUCAGCAGCAGUGCUGUCGCCUUGAUUGCCAACCCUUGUCUAGGCGCCAAGAACUCCAUUGGUCAUCACCACUACCCCACCGACAAUGGGGUGGCAAUCAUAGGUGGAUGUGUUUUUCCCUUUUUUUUGUGUGUGUAAAGUUUUAGUUUUAUUUAGUUUGUUUUUUACGAAAAAAUAUAAAUAAUAAAGAAAAAGAAAAAUUUUUAAAAGACGAAAUUACCCUUCACAAUUAAUGAGUUUAGGCUUUUAUUUGAGACCGAUAUGGUCACUUCAGACUCUUAUUUAAAAUUCUAAAAAUAUGAAAUUACACUUCAAAUAUUCAUUUAAAAAAAUGAGGGUACUUCGGACUCUUAUUUGAAAAAAUGACAAUAUUUUGGGUCUUUAUUUGAAAUAAUAUUCACUUUAAACCUUUAUCUGAAACAUUGAGGGUACUUCAAACUCUUAUUUGGAAUUUUUCCAAAAUAAUGUUUUCUUUUGGGAAUAAAAGGAAAAAUAAGUUCUUUUUUAGGAAAACAAUGACAAGCAGAAUUUUAAAAAAAAAAAUGGAAGCCCCGAGGGUGGACGCCAUUGAUUUUUUCAAAGAUGUGUUACAAUAUAUGAUGAGUUGUGAAUGUCACAGGUAUUGUAUAAUACGAUAUUAUCAAAUAUAUUUUAUACUGAAAUUGUGUCCAUCUCCUAGACGACUAACUGUAUGGGUAAAAAGCAAGAACAUCGCGUACUUGCUUCUUUCAAUAAUCUUUGUAUACGGCUAAAUGGUUUUCGCAUCUAUAGCAUUCUUUAGGUCUUCUCUUUGUUGCUUGAUGAUAAAAAUCGAGAUAAUGAUAAAAUAUAUAGACCUAUCACUUUGGUUUCAAACUCAAAUGCAUAAAUUUCACUAUUUCGAGACAAUUAUUUUGUUGAGAUUUGUACUCUUAUAGAAGUUACGCAAUUUCAUGAUAUGUGUUCACAUUUUCUACCCAUAAUCCUCAAUAAAAUUAUGUACAUAUAACAUUACUCCAAAUCCACAAAUUUCACAAUCAAAUUAUAAUGCAUGAGAUAUGAAGAUAUUACGAUUAGAAUAGUCUAUAGAAUAGAGAGAGGGAGAGGGGGAGAGAGAGAGAACCUAAGAAGUAUAUCAUAUUUACAAUGGAUGUUGCCCUUUUUUUCUAAAGGCAUACUAAAAGGAAAAGGAAUCGAAAAAAAAAUGACAAAAUUUCUUAAUUUGUGGAAAAAGAAAGAAAGAAGAAAUUGAAAAGUAAGGAUUGGCUGGCGGCACUAGGAAGGAUCUAAUUUUGUCUUAGAUUUCGUGGUAUAAUAGAUCUAUAAAUAAAUAUAUAUAUAUAUAUAUAUAUAUAUAUAUAUAUAUAUAUAUAAUUGCUAAUGAAUUUGGCAGUAGCGCGACAUUGCUCAUAGGAGUGAGCAUUGGUCUAGGGUUAACCCUAGACUGUCUCUGGAUUGGCCCAACCCUGCCAGUUCUAGUCCGAUUCUCAGGGAAACUGGGUCAGUCUUUGGUCCUGGAAUUCUUAGACAUGUACUGGUCGGUCUUCGGUCUUGAGAGUUCCGGAUCAGUCCAACCCAGACCAACCCUAACUAUAUUAUAUAAAACCUAAAAAUAAACGAAGUCAACAACAUUAAACAGCUCUUUAGUGAGGAAUUCAAAUAAUUUUACAUCAUUCUUUAAUAACUUAGGUUUUUAAUGUUUUUUACGGUGUCAAUAGUCAUAAAUUACGAAUGAGGAAAAUGUUUGUGUGAAAAGUCCCCCCUCUAAUAUUCGUUCUUCUCUGUCUUAUUUGUCCUCUUAGUCUUCAAUUUUCCAAAAUUGAAAGAAACAAUUUCUCCGCUCACAACUCAACACUAGCUUCGCUCGCUUUGGGCCACUCGUGCCACUCACCACUUAAUGCUUGCAUGGCUUGUUACUCCCCGUUUAACAUUCGAUGCUCUUUAUGUUCGACACUCACUCUACUCGACCAUCAUCGCUUGCCUUUUUUAGCUGAUCUCGUUCAUUAUCGAACCCAUUAGGUCAAUAUAAUCCCAGUUGCCUUUUCAAUAAUUACAAAAAAUGAAAUAAAAAAUUAUUAGUUAGUCAUGGGUUGAAACCGAAUUGAACUCAUUGGGUCAGUCCGGUCCUCAAUCUUUUUUUAAAGAGUAUAAAAAUUGAAAUAAAAAAUUAUCAGUUGGUUUCGGGUUGAUCCUGGAACUAGACCGAACCUAUUGAAUCGGUUUGGUACUCGGUCCCAAGCUCAAUAGGAUCAAUUCUCAAUCCUAAAAAUUGAGAACUAGUACUAUGCGAGGUGGGGGUAGACCGCCCAAUUCAGACCACGUUCACCUCUAAUUGCUCAUGUGUGAGAUCUCCAAAAUCUCACUCCUCGCUCCUAUGCUGACCUUCUAGCCGUAGCUUCUGCAUAUGAACAGAUCGAGAAGAUGGCCUACAGUGUCUGGCUCUCCCCCUCUCUCUCUCUCUCUCUCGGUAGCUGGGUCGAAGAUUGCAGAGAUUGACCAGCGUGGAACACGGGAUUUCGGAAUAUCUGAGUACUUUAAUUCUCUGGUGGGUAUAAUGAUUGACGAUAGAAUGACCUUUUGGAUGUCGAUUUUUGCAAAAGCUUUGCUUAUUUUGACCUACUCUGUUGGUGCCCGCGUCCUCGAAUUUUAGUGCUGGCAAUCGGUGCCUUGUGCAGAUCUCAUUAUAAUUCAGGCGUGUCGUGAGCAUGUUCAAGCGCCCAAGAACGAGUCGAAAAUCAUCAAAACGCCCGUUAUCUCGAUAGGAACAGAAUGCUAAGUGCGGGUUCAAGCAUGUCAUGAACGAGUUAGCAACGCUUUUAUGAGUUACGAGUUACGUAUAGACAAAUUGACCCAUUUAUAAAUGGAUUGUGCAUGAUUAAAUUCCGUCUGAGCAUACCAGAUCCCGUAUGGUGUGGACAAGUCAAUGGUAGAAAGUUUUCAUAUUUAAACCAAACAUGAUCUAAUCAAAGGUGUUGUAUCAUCAAGGUAUAUUGAUCUAACUCAUUUUGCACGUUGAACAUAAAAACUCAAUACAAACGUGUAAAAGCGAGUUUUAACGAAUGCCAACAAAUCUAAAACUCAUUGAAAUGUGUGUCGUUUCAACAAGAGUAGCACGGUCAUAGCCUGUUUUUCAAUUGAAUGUGCUUCAACGUGUCACGAACGAGCCAAAAUUCUCAACCAUACCAACAGCGCUUUUAUGAUUCACGUACGAACAGAUCAACCCAUUUAUGAAUCGACUGCGCAUGAUUAAACCUCCAGCCGGGAAUGCCAGAUAUGGCAUGUGGUGAAUAAGUCGGCGUUAGAAGGUUUUCAGCCACGUCUUUUCAAUGGCAGUAAUAAUUCGGCCAUGGGUUGCAUGAUUAUCUAGGAACCAGGAAAAACCGACUUCUCUGUUCAAAAAUCUCAGUUCUUAGGACCAUUGUCUCGAUCAAGAUAGGAUGGAUGGUUUUAUAUUACGAGCGCAAAGCGAAGAAAUCUGGCAUGAAAAAGGGAAAGAUCGAAUUUGACCCAUUUCAUCGGUCAACAACUACCGUUCAUGCUCCCGUCCAAAUCCAGCGGACAUUCAAUAGAUGCGCACGAACAUGGUCCAGUGAUGUUGCUACUUCACUUGAGGAGAGAAUCUUUCCAGGAGAGAAUCUUUCGAAAAUUUAUACUUACUGGGAUUUCAAGUGGUGUAGGCUUACUCCAGAGGUCGUAUUCAGGUUUAAUAGAAAAUCACUGCAUUGUUCAAGGGCUUUUGAAAUUUGAAACUCACGCAAGGAGCCAACAUUUGACCUAAUAUAUCGUUACGAUAUUUAACUGGAUUCGCUGUCUAGCCAUUUAAAAAUUCCGUUUCAUCUUUCUUUUUGUGGUAUAAUAUGUCCAACGAACGAUUAGAUUAGGGUUUCGCUUUUCUUGAACAUAUCGUUUUUCAUCCAUCAAGACACUAGUUGAGCAUGGUUUUAGAUAUGUUGCCAUCAACAGUUUCUGCACUGCUAUUUUGUGUUUGAAUCAAUCUUGUCUCUCCUUCCUCCUCUCUCGUGACCGUGUUUUAGUUCCGGGUUCACUUCUUCGAUCCGCUUGGGGUUUUGGUUUUUCCAGCUACACUCCCAGUUUCGGACCGGACUUUGACCCUGAUUCCUCGAUUGGCUUUAGUUCAGUCCUUUGUAUCUUUUCCAAGAAAACCCUAGGAUGGGUAAAUGACAAUGCUUUGGACGAGUUACACAUACACAAGUCAGCGGCAUUUUUGUCCAAAGGGUAAGAAAACAACUAAUGACUUGGGCUCUUCCUGUGCUGGUGCUGACAGUUUUCACCGGUCUCUGACCAUUAUUUAUUCCCCUUUGGGUGUGCAAACUUGAUUUUUCUAACCACCAACGUCAUUUUUUUUUCUUCGAAAAGUCAGAUAAAUAAUCAUUAAAUUUUAGCAGGAUGUAUAAUAUCAUAUCUAAAUUUUUAACUUAUUUAAUAUGAUUCCCAAAUUUUAAUCCAAUAUAAAAUAUCAUUUAUGAACAUUUAAUUUGUUUAAUAUAAUUCAUACAUUUUUUAUUCAUGCUCAGUGUAGUUCUUGAACUAUAUGAAAAAUGUUCAAUAUUAUUUCUAAACUUAAAUUAAUAGAAUAACAACAUUGAAUAUUAUCAUAGAGUUCAUUGACUAGAUUGAAUAAGUAUAAAACAUAUAAAGAUUAUAUUGAAUAAACUAAAAUAUUAAAAAAACGUUUACCUAAUGCCCCUAUAUCCCCCCCCCCCCCCAAAUCAUGUACAUCCUUACCAGGAUUGAUUAUGACCAUAGAAAAUUGAAGUUGAUUUUGCCUCCUUCGUCGAUCGAGAUAGGUCUGGCUAUAUUAUGUUUUUUUUGCAUGUCGUUAGUACUUGUCAUGUCAAUUUUUCUUAUAUGCCCAACAUGUUGUAAUAUUGUAAUAUAUUUAUUAGUAUUCUAAAUAUGAUCCCAAUAUUGUAUUCCCAAUUAGUUUUGAUUUAUUGCCCAAUUUAUUACCCACAUCUAUUACGUGAUAUUUGCCCGUUAAUAUGUUACCAUAACGGUCUUGAUAGAAGAUGUCGGUAACAUGAGAAAUGGAAUAAAACGUCAAUUCAUCUAGUUUAAACCUUAUCACUACAGAAAAAAAAAAAAAAAAAAACACCAUCAAGUUUGAGGGUUAUUGGCUAGUAGAAUAGGACGUACAGAUUUGGUGGUUCUCAUAUUGUAGAUCGAUCAUGCUACAUGGAUCCGUCCGAGGUUUUAAGGUUUUCCGUUUUUGCAGAUUUCAUCAAUGGCUGGAAGUAUGUUGAUCUUUACGUUUCCACAAAUCGAUCCCAAAUUCUGUAUGAAUUUAUCUGUGAUUGAUAAAUCGAAAUCAUCAGGCUUUAGUUUAUAUUUCAUCUAACAAUUGGUAUCAGAGCAUGUUUACAAUCUCUGCCUUGGUGAAAUUUUUGGAAUUUCUAUUUAUUUUCAUUGAAUUAUGUAUGGAUAAAUUCGAGUCACCCACCAUGCGAUAAUGGAUCGGCAUGAUCACACUGCCAUUAGGAAGAAAACCCUUAAAUUUUCCAGUAUAUUACCGAUCAUCGGAGGUUAAUCGAGUGGUGAAAUUUUGGUGGUUAGGAUUUUUAGGGUAGAUCGUUUUAGGCUUAAUUCUGGUCAAUACGUUGGUUGUUUUUGCCGAUUCUUGAAAUUAUUCGUUCGUCCCGAUAUUCUCUUUGAAACCCAUAAAUCAAUUUGGUCGGAUAUGGGCUGUGGAGGAGACCUAGGUGGCAAAACGAAGCUGGUCGCGGUGGAAGGAACAACGGAAAAGAAGAAAGCCCGAAAAGAAGGCUUCAGGCGCGUUGCACGCGUGCCUCUCUGCUUGUGCAGAAUUACAAUUCUGCCAUUGAAAUUCCCUCUGUUGUACUCCAGCUUGGUAGUUUCCACUGCCUAUCCAGGGUUGAGCCCUAGGAUUUGACGGUGGACUUAAAAAGCCACCUACAGACGCUUUACGUCCAAUCAUUCCGGAUAACGCUUGCAUCCUUUGUAUUACCGCGCACAGAGUUAGCCGAUGUUUAUUCCCCAGAUACCGUCAUUGCUUCUUCUCCAGGAAAAGAAGUUCACGACCCAUGGGCCUUCUACCUCCACGCGGCAUUGCUCCAUCAGGCUUUCGCCCAUUGCGGAAAAUUCCCCACUGCUGCCUCUCGUAGGAGUUUGGGCCAUGUAUCAGUCCUAGUGUGGCUGAUCAUCCUCUCAGACCAGCUACUAAUCAUCGCCUUGGUAAGUUAUCGCCUCACCAACUAGCUAAUUAGAUGCGAGCCCCUCCUCGGGCGGAUUCCUCCUUUCGCUCUAGUAGGAUUAUGUAAAAUAAUUGUGUUGGACAUAAAUUUUAAGAUGGUUUUUAUAGGACAUAUAUUUUAUUUGGACAAGUGGACAGGAGUGUAAUAUUUGAUACAUACUAUAGGAAAUGAAUGGUGCAUUUGUUUGAUUGAAAAAAAUUUCCAUGAAUUAGUUUUGCAAUCACACGUAUGGUUUGUUGGAAAUAAUUUUUUAAUGAAAAAUCAUAUGCGAUUAAAGAAAAUAUGUAGACUCAAAGUUAGAAAACUAAAUUUUCUAAUCUAAAUAUAUAUAUAUAAUUUUCUCGAAAUGAUUCUUCAGAAAAUAUUUUCUUUGGCUGCCCUCCGCCACAGCUCGGUCUAAUGAUAAGCUAGCUAAUGAAUGGAGAUUGGAUUCCACAAACAAACACGUCAAAGAUUGAGUGGAUGAAGGCCAAAUAUUUGGUGGGAGAAGAAAGAGGAGAAAAUGACUAAGAUAAGGGAAAGAAUUGAGAUACUAUGGUGAGCAAAUCUAGGGAAGGAAUCAAUGGGAUCUCCCCAUUACUCAGCAGUAUGUCAUCCGAAUUUGGCCGUUCGGGGAGGCGCAACCAAGAGUAAAAGCAAAGGGAGAUUUGGGGAUGCGAAUCACGCAAAAAUGAGGGGGCUAAAAUCAGAAAUCCGAGUGCAUAAGGGGAAUUUAUUGCAAGAUAGAAAGAAAGAAAAAUAUUUGCAAUCAAAGGAGACUCGAAUGUUCCAAACUACUGAUCACAUGAUGUCUUCUCUCAGCAAUAUAAUGAUUACUCCUUCCAUACUCAUCAUCACUGCAAUUAUUAAGAAUUAAAAAAAAAAUUAAUCAUCUCCGAGUGGGUAAUUUUACCCUUGAAACGGGAACUAGACUGAAAUUUACCAAUUCCAACUUUAAAGAAUCGGGAACAAGACCAAAGACCUAGGAAUUGCCUAAAAUCGGCCAGUCUUAACGGUUUCUUUUGCUCAACUCUACUUUUUACUAUCCCUGAAAUUUGGUUAGAAAUCCAUAUCAUUCCCCUUGAUGAUAGAUCAAACAUAACCUCAUUAAGUUGUUGGAAAACAUUAAAUAAUAUGAAAAAUAAGAAUUAGAUGGAAAUUUGUUGGAAAAGUUGAGAAAAUAAUAGCAAUCGUCUAGGCACGCCAGUACCAUCCUUAAGAAUAAUUCUGCUUUUUGGAAUAUGAAACCUGUCCCAUAAGACUCUAGCAGCUAUCCUCCCAAGAUAUAACAAACAUUCUUAUAUACUUCAUAUUGGAAUAUUGGAAGGAAUAGAAACAACAUUAUGUGUAUAACCCAACCAAAAAGAAAAUGAAACAAGGGGAAAUUCUCUUAAUUCAGAGUAUUUUAUUUUUGGAUUGUGGUUUGUAAUUUUAUAUUUAAACAAAAGGGCCAUUAAAAGAGCUGUUAAGAAAGAGCCAUUAAAAAUCAUUUGGCAAUUAAUAGAAGCAAAGUCAAUAUAAAACGUCAUAUAUUAAUAGCGGAUGGAAAUCAUUACAAAUUGAUGAGGGUGGUAAAAACGUUACAAAAUUUAGUAGCUUUCAGUAUCCAACAUAUCUGACAAGGUUCAUCUUUCUUAUAGAGAGGGGGUAAGAACAGUGAAGGUGGAAAUGGCCAUGAUGGUAACAACAACCAAGAGUAUGGGGUCGGUGAUCCUCAUGGUAGUUAUGAUAUCGGGGUCAUCCAUCAGUGCCACUAAUUGGGGCUGGAGAACAUCUUUUCUAGGCGAGCUUUUCUGUACAAUGUCCUGUGCCACUACAAAUCCACCCCUUCCAUGUGUCUCCAAGUGCUACGAAAACAGGGAUCAGUCCAGCGAGUCCUUGACGUCUGCGGGAAUAAAGCACUGCGACGUCAGUUGUUUAUCGUCUACUUGCCUUAACUACUAUCAAGGUAAUAAUCCUCACAUCGAGAUCAAAGAUAUAGCGUAACUUCUUAUGAGAUCCAUACAACUAAGAAACUCAUUGCAUAAUCUUCUUCUCUUGCUUGAUCUACGUCUCAUUGAUAUAUUUUUAUUACAAGAGGAUGAUUGCUUACUGAAUCAUUUCAUUUCCUUGGACUUCAAUAUAUAGGCUCUUGUUUAAAAUAAUUCAAUUUCAAUUUUGAUGUGAGUACCUUUUUAAUUCUCUUGUUUUAUAUUUGAACUCAUGAAGACACCGAGAAAGUUGGAGUGGACGUGAAGAAAAUUCGAACUUGUGCAAAGUCAUGCCAUCAGGGUUGCCGAAAGACCUAUUCAUUGCACUCAAGUCAUUGAACUUAUACUAUGCUUUUGUGGUUUCAUUCCUCGACUAUUAAAAAAUGCAUUUUUAAUUUUGUGAUAAAAUGACUACUCUCUAUUAUUCGGAAUUAGAUUGUGAGAUAUAAAUACAAAAGAAAAGGUAACCUCUACAAGAUAUUGAAGUUGGCUUUGUCUUGCCUAUAUGGAUUUGUGUCAAAACAUGAUGUAUGUCCUCACACAAUCGAUGUUUUACGAUGUGCAUAAAAUUAUCAAUUUCUAGCACGACAUGGCAUGAGAGUAUGACUUGGCAAUGCUGCCAUUGAGACAAAUGAAAUGAUAUGUAUAAGCACGUCCUAAGCCAAAAGAGAAAAAGAGAAUUAUAUAUAUAUAUAUAUAUAUAUAUAUAUAUAUAUAUAUAAUUUACCAUAAGUUAGUUUUAUGAAUUAUGUUUGGGUGGUAAUUUCAAAUAGGAUAGGAUAUCACGGUGGAGAGAAUUGAUUGUCUUUUAAAAGAUAUUUUCAAAAUGCUAUGGGAAUUUCUUUGUGGUCCUAUCAAGGCAGGAUUGAGAAAGAAUAACGAAGAAAAGAGAUUUGGCUGACAAGGGCCUCGUAUAUUGUGCAAUACAGGAAAGGAAGAUGGGGGGUUAUUGUUUUAUUUUUUCUGCAAGAUUAAUGAAAAGAUAUUUCGGAAAAAAAGGCAACCCAUACUAACGAGAGGAAAAAAAAAAGAUAUCCGAGAAGGAGGAGAAUAUAUUAGGUAGGUGAAACACUCUACCAAGGUUAAAUGGAAAAUCAUUCUUCGAUCAACACAUGUCGUUUGCGUAUUGUCCAUAUCCAUUAAAUGGGUGGAUCGGGUCAUAAAUGGUUCGACCCAAAUCGAUCCAUUUAACCCGUUUAUUAGGAGUGUUAGUAAUCAAACCGAAAAAUUUGAUUUUUUCCGUUCGGUUUCCAUUUAGUACGGUUUCUAUUAAAAACCAAAAUUUUUCGGUUGGGAUCGGUUUAACAAACCGAAAAAUAGAACCGGUAAAGGGCCAACCCUAUUUCUAAUUCUCUCCUGUCUCUUGUCGUCUUGAAGGUGCGAUGGUGACGACGACGGCGACUGUGACUGCGACGACAAUAGGGAUGGCGAUGGCGGCAGGGAUGGCAACGGCAACGGCGACAAGGACGGCGACUGAUUGAGGGAUCGAUUGUUCCGCCAUGCCCUUUUCUCUUCUUCUUCUCUUUAUUUGUCGGCAACGGCGACUCGUGGAGUUGUGUGCUGUGCUGGGUUGAGCAACAGCACUUUGGAGACUGACCCUUUUGUCCUCACAACGCCGCUCUACUAAGUCAAUGCCCCUCCUCACAUGGGCAGCACAUACACUGCCAUUGCUGCUGAUACCAUCGCCCUCACUUUCAGGUUUGUCUUCAGACAUUGUUCGUCUUUCAUUGUUGACGUUCCUUUUUGUUUUUCCGUUGUUUUUUGGUUGUCUGUGAGUUAUGGGUGUCGGUAAAGGCAAAACCCAUGUUUCUUGAUCCCCUUUUUGGUGUCACUAAGAGUAGAGAUCAGUGUCAAUGGUCGGUUGUUUCUUUUAUCAUAGUAGAUACGAAUAAAGAGUACCAAUUUAUUGUGGUUGAACUUUUGCCUUGAUGCAAAUGAAUGAGUCUGCCUGUAGCCGGGGGGAUGAGUUUUGUUCCUCAGACAAAGCUAUUGCUUCGUAAUCGUUCUUUAGCAUUGGUUGUUCGUGGUAAACUAAUGCACUUUAUUCAUCAAGAUUUGAUUUUUCUUUUGUUUAAGCUGGGGUUGGAUUGGAAAAUUGGCUCUAGGAAUCACUUCUACAUAAACAAUGACUUGGUUCUAACUUCCGUUACUUCAAAUUAAAAGGCUUACAAUUAUAAUUCUUUUUUUUUUUUGUGGGCUAUAAUCCAUUUGGAGCGUGAAUUUAUUUUCCUCGGGUGCUCCGCAAGAAUCCUUCCUAUUUAUGCGCUUGAACAACUUCAUGGGUUCUAGUUUUGGUUACUAGAUUCGGAGUCACUUCUAACGUUUUGUUUCUUUGACUUGAGUCGACCCAAAAACCUGAGCUAUCCAACACAAAGGUAGGCUUUCCUGAUGCUGAUAAAGUUUGUCUGAAUUACUCUAAUCUCUGAGAUGAGAAUGGAGAUAGCUACACUUGCGAUUUUUGAGCCAUUCUGUUUUGGUGAGCUUGUUCAUUAGGUAGGUGAAAACCAUAGUUUAAUCGCUUAAGGUUUUGGCUUAAGACCGAUGGCCAAGGUAAUUGAUUUUGGGGUAUCUUUCAGGGUAGUGAGACACUGGAUAUGUUAAAUAUCCCGUCACCCAUGAUUUACCUUUGUUCUCCUCAGCCGUGCCUCAAACCUUCAGCUUGUUGAGGUAAUUCAUUUCUUUAUGAUGCAUUUUGCCGACGCAGCGUUGUUUGUGCUCUCUAUGUUUAUCUUGUCCUUUCUAUCAUUGGUUUACCAUUAGUACUUCUUUCAACAGUGAAUAGAAGCAAAGAUGCAUAUUACUGUUGAGUGUCGUGUAUUCAAGCAUCUUUCGCAGAACCUUGAUCGUAGCUACAGUUUUUAAAUUAAACAUUUCUUGGUAUGCACGGGAAAAACUAUUCCAUUUCUCGUUUUGAUGCCUGAUUGAGCACCUGAAGCUUUAAGAUUGCACGAAUUGGGCAUUGUUACAGGGCUUCUUGCUAAUGUUAAAGGCUCUUUACAACAUGAACAGAGUAAAAACCUUUGUUUCAGUUGGAGUGCAUGAUGUUAAAGGUUUUUUUGACAUUGUUUGCAACCAAAAAAAAAAAAAAACUGUCUUCACCAAUAUCAAGCCUUUUUAGAUUGAUCUUGUUCUUAACUUUUGUACAUCAGGACUCAUGUCAUAUUUUACAAUAUGCGAUGUGCGUAUUUUGAAUUGGUUGAGUUCAAAAUGCCCUUCCCUAGCAUGAGUUGCAUCUAUUAAUGCUUGAAGCCCACAGGUUAUGUGCAUUUAGGGCCAGGUUUGAGUGGAGAACAUAUUGGAGGUCUUCAUUUGUGUGAUUUCUAAUCAUAGUGGAUUUCGCUUUAUACAAUGUUGUUGUAUGGAGAGUUUGCUUGCCAAAUUUAAUGUGUAGAGAAGAGUAUUGACUGAGGCCCCUGCUUUAAAUUGCGUUUUCUUUCUUAUAUGUGUAUCUGUCAUUGUAUGUACACAAUAAGUAGAGAAAUGUUCAUUGUAUAGGUUUUGCUGACACAGUUCAAAAGUACUUGAUGUAUUUUGUAGCUCAUUGACCCUAAUGAUGGUAAAGGCUCUUAUAUGUACUCAAGAUUGACUACGAUCCGCACUACUUUCGCAAUCGAUCGAGGAGGACUUAGAAGAACUUGAAAAUUUUAAGUUGAGUGAGAAAAAAAAUAACCAUUGAAUAUUUAUAUUUUUCAAUAUUACAAUUGAUAUUUCAACUUUCAUUUUCAUUAUGAAUUUAAUGCAGAGUUGUCAUCUAUGACCACAAACCUAAAUUCAAUAGCAAUUUCUCUUGAUCAUUGACGAACUUAGAUGUAAGAAUUAUCCAUAUUUAUUUCUUUCAAUAUUACAAUUGAUAUUUCAAUUCUCAUUUUCAUUGUGAAUUUAAUGCAGAAUUGUCAUCUACGACCAUGGACCUGAAUUCAAUAGCAAUUUCUCUUGAUGAUUGACAUGUAAGAAUUAUCUAUAUUUAUAUUUUUCAAUAUUACAAUUGAUACUUCAUUUCUCAUAUUCAUUGUGAAUUUAAUGCAAAGUUGUACCCAGCUCAGGAAUUUGGUCAAUUUUCCGGUUUUUAUGUUCUAUCUUUGAAAGUUUGGAGGGCCAUUAUGCAAUUUCAUCUUGUUGAUAGAGCUCUUGGAGAUUGGGAGAUAAAAAGUUACCCGAGCUUGUUCUAUUUUUAGAGGAAUGACAUUCCCCCAAUUUUAUAAUGUAGAAACAAGACUAAAUGUUUCAACUAUCGGUUGAUCAAUCCCUAUAUAAAGUUUUUACGGUUAAUGAAAAAGAAUAUUGGUAAAAUCCCUUCAUAUUUUCAUGAUGUGGCUUACUAUGAACCUUGUAUUGUUUAAUUGCUCAAUGAUGACAAAUAUUUUGUGAUUAGUUCUAAAUUUGUUUUGCCAUUCCCGACAAUAGAAUUACUCAACAAUGCUUACGCGAUAGGACCAUCAUUCUCUCUCCACCUUAAGUUUUAUUUAGCCAACUUGAGGAAAGAUUUAGUCGGUUUGACCCUGUGACAUCUUGAAUUUCCAAUAUUGGUUUCAAUUGAAUAAAUCGGGCCUUUUAUCAACGCGUCUAUAAUGCUAUUCAGAGCCGAUCACUCGUGAGAUAACUAAACUAUUUGGAGAAGUCAUUAAAAUAUUUUAAUGCAAUGGACUUGAGAAUUCGACCAGAAGUCGACUGCUCGACCGUGCUAGUCUGCAAGAGUCAUUAUGGCAUUGUCAAAAUCGAUCAGAGAUUAUGGAUAUAUUGAUUCGACUGAGAUGUGUGAUCAAAGUGUAGGUGAUUCCACCUGAUUGCAAAAUUCUCGUCGAUCGGCACUAGAUCGAUUUUCUAUUGCUUUUGGUACCCUGUGCCCGUAAUUGAAACCUUGAGAUUUUCACGACCACUGAGAGUUGCCAAUGUGUUGAGUAGGUUCAUAGUGGCUUGAAAAAAAUUGACCACAAGUCAUUCGCAGUAAAAACCUCUGAAAACUACUCGGUAGCCUAGGUCACGCUAAAAACGUGCCCGAGUGAAAUUAACCGCGAAUUUAGGUCCGAUUUCAAAAAUUGAAAGUUCUGUCAUGUCACAAGUCAUAUUAGGAACAUCUCUUUCGAUGAAUUUUCAGUGAAUUUGAGAUUUUUACGAAAAAUCGUUGCCGAAGGUUCAGAAAUUAGUGAAAAUUCGGAUGGGCCAACUUAAAGGAAAUUGUGGCUUCUAUACCGAGUUAUAUGGUGUUGGGGACUUGUAGAAAAUGGUGUGAGCCUUUUCCUCGAGGAAAUUGGACAUCAAAUUUGGGGAAAAUUGUUAAAGAAAUUGAAGACCAAAUAAUGAAAUUCGAGCUAAGAAAAGGGGUACAAUUUUGGACUUCAAAAUUUGGAUUAUUGAUGGAUUUUAUGCAAAAAAGUAUUAAGAGACGUUGAGAUAAGUUUGAGGGGUAAUUGGGGGACCAAGCAUUCAAUUUUCUAGAUAGUCUUUAUUGACUUUUUGGUCAUUUCCUUUCAAAAGCCUCCUCAGCACACCUAGCCACCGACUCCUCCUGCUCAUGUUUCCACUUUGCUUUUCAUUUUCCCUUGAAAUUCUGUCAAAGCAGCAUCCUCGCACGAAGAUCGCCUGCCCCUUCUUUCAUUUCCUUCGCCCGCAGCCAACCCCUUCGCUAGCAACACCCAUUCUCCACUCACUGAAGCUUCACGGUCUCAUCAGCCUCUUGCCAGCAGCAAUUUGAGUCAACGAAGCAGUGAAGCCCUCCCAAACGAAGACCACCAAACAACCGCACUUGCACCUCCACGCGUCCAAGUCCACUGAAGAUAUCAGCAGCUUCGGUCUCCACGUCUGCAACUCGUGUUUCUCCAUCAACUCAGCUGCACGCCUUCACCAACGAAGCCCCCUCUCCACAGACGUUCUUCACCACUAGCUGCUUUUGUCUGUUAUCUUCAGCCACGCGUCUUCACGGUCAACCAACAAAGCCAUCACCCACCGAAGCAGCAGUCCAGCGUUUCCUUGGUCUUCCUAGCUCGACGCCAGCCCACUCACGAGCUUCGUUACUUCCUCAUUCGCUACUCCAAGCCUCGACGCCAGCAAGCUGCAAGUUCGGCCUAAUUGUAGUCCACGAGCCAGCGAGCUUCAGCCCACACCAUUCUCUCCCAGUCCAGCAUUUUGGGCCCAAUUCAGCAGCUCCUUCAGGCUUUCUUGUUCAACCCAUUUGAAGCUCAGCCCACUUGCAUGUGAAUUUCAGCCCAUUCCAACGAAUUUGGUCCAGCGAAGCCCAACAAGUUUCUGUUUUCAGCAAGCCCAGGUGUUCAGCCCAUUGAGUCCAACUUUGAAGCCCGUAUCUUCAGCCCAUUUUCAAUCUUGAAGUUGGCCCAAGAAGUAGGCCCAAGCCCAGCUUUUUGUUGUGGGCUUGAGACACUUUUAGGCUCAGUCCAAGUGCCUGCAGAUGUUGCCGAAAAUUCGGAUUUCGGCUGCGUCAUGCCGUUGUCGCGGUGAUCCGAUUUUCGUAAAACAAGUUAGUUUAACUCACUAAUCCCUACUUAUUUUUCCAAUGAUACUUAGGGGUUGAUUAGAUUUAAUUAAGUGCAAUUAGGUAGAUAGAUUAAAUUAGAAUAAUUAAAUUAGGGAUUUACCUAUGCAUGUUAGGAGAAUGGUUAGUAUAAUUAGUGAGUAAACAAGUCCUAGUAUUUAUUAAACGAGUCUCGAUAAUUUUCUAUGUUCGUCUCGGCUUCAAUUAGACAUUACGGGCCUAAAUUGGAUUUAUUGCUAUUUAAUAAUUAAUUUUCGAAAUUAAUUAAUUAUUUAUUUAUUUUCUGGAAAUUCAACCGGGAUGGUCAGUGACCGAGAUUUUAUGUUGAUUACCGUGGUCAGUCUGUUUAUUUAAUUGAGCUUUUUUUUUGUGCUGAAAUGAAUUAUUUGUAAAUUUAGGAUUUAUUUCCUAAAUUAAAUAAUUUUGGGAAAUUAAUUGAAAAAUAACCAGGCAUCGGUUGAUAAUGCCAAAAAUGUUUUGGUAGACUACAGAAAAUGAUGGAAUUUAUAGAAAAGUGAAAUUAUGAUAUUUUGGUUAAGGCCAACCAUGUACCCACACACGAUAAAUUUUUAUCGGAUAUCGUUAAUACAAGGGAAAUAGGCCAAUUAUUGUUUUGAUUGAGGAUUCUAAGUGUGAAGCAUACAAUCCUUGGCUAAAAGUAAUUAAUCGUGUGAGGGUUAUUAGUUGCAUUGAGAAGACUAUUGAAAGAUGAAAUGAUGUAUGAUGGGUGUGUGAUAGAGUAGAAUAGGGCAUGAAUCGGUUAUUAUCACCAAAGUCUGGUUAUAUCCAUUGAACCAUAGGUUACCACCUAAUCUAAGUUGUACUCGCUGUGUCGUAAUUCUGCACUACCACCGAACUUGGAAUCGGUUGUGCACACUAAACUGUAAUUCAGCAUUACCACCAAAUUUGAAAUUGGUUGUACCCGCUAAGCCGUAAUUCAACAUUAACCGCCGAAGAAUUAGUAAGCCAUGUCUACUGAGCCGUAAUUCAGUAUUACCGCCAAAGUUUUAGUAGAUCGUGCUCAUUGAGCCGUAAUUCAGUAUUAGGGUUGAGUAUUUGAGAGGACCGUGUGGACCAUGCUCGCUGAGUCGUAAUUCAGCGUUGGAGUUGAGUAAUCGAGAUGAGCCGACCAAGAAAAGGGUUGAGAUGACAUGUAAUCGACUAGGUCGAUUGUUCGAUGAUUCGAUCUGAGUGUGGAUUUAAUGUGAUUAAUGAUUGAAUGAUCUGAUGUUAUGAAUUGAUUGAGUGAUGUGAUAGAAGGUAUCUGUAAAUAAUGUUGAUUUGCAGGAUGGAAUUGAGGCCAAGGUAAGUCAUCUGACUCGUGUUAUGCUUAGGCAGCCUCUAGGGCAUAUUGGCUUCAUAAUCAAGUCUUAGAAGAUAAAACUUACUGAGACGUUGUCUCACUGGUUAUUGUAUAAUCAUUUUCAGGCCCCUAGUUGAAAGCGAUGGGGAACCCGAGGCCCAAAGUUCAAAAGGUGAAGCCCGGAGAAUCGACGAGUAUGUCUGACUAGCUAGUCCUAGGACAUUUCUUUUAUGUUGAAAGCCGAUUCCUUUUUGUAGGUUUUUGUGUAUAAACUUGUGUGUUUAUAAAAAUGUCUUUUGGGAAAAAUUGGUCAUAAUUUCAUAUCCGAUUGUUUUAUUGUCUAGGGAUUUCAUAUGCUUCCGCAUACGUAUAUUAAAUGAAUGGAUUGGCGAUGCGUGCUGGGAUGUCGCUAUUAAUCAACCAAUGAGAGAUGGGCACAUGCUUGGAGGAUUGUGAUGUGACAGACCUAUUAAUUGCAGUGCAAAAUUUUUGACCCAUACCCAACCUGACCUGUACUCAAUCCAUACCUGACCCAUUUAACGAAACCUAAAUAUAUAUAUAUAUAUAUAUAUAUAUUAAAAAUGGUAUUGUAAAUUGGUUUUAUACAACACAAAUUUAAUGGACAAUUUUUAUAAUUUUUACAAUAAUUAUUUUUAAAAAAUCGAAUUUUAAUUAUUUUUAUUUUUUAAAUAUUUAAAAAAAUUUUAAAAUAAUAUUUAGUUUUCUUUUUUCUUUUUCUUUUUUCUUCUUCUUCUUCUUUGGCCAGCCGUCGACCACGACAAUAGCCGGUGACUGGCCACAGGCGAGCCUCGAGCUCGCCCAGCUCGCCGACGCCGUCGAGGCCUCUGCCUCGCCAAAUUCGACAAGCUCAAGCUCGCCCCUCGCCCGAUGCUGGCGAGUUUGAAUCUCACUAGAUCGGCGAGGCUUGGGCCUCGCUAGACGUUGGUGAGACCUCCUCCUCGCCAGAUCCGGUGAACUCGAGUCUCACCUGGCCAAUCGCCAACCAUCGCCGUGCCGGCCACCGAAAAAAGAAGAAGAAAGAAAAAGAAGGAAAGAAAGAAAAGAAAAUUAUAAUAAAAAAUUAUUAUAAUUUUGAUUUUUAAAAAAUAUAAUAUAUAUAUAUAUUUUUUUUUUAUUUUUUUUUUCUAAAGUUAAAUGGGGAAGAGGGAGAUUGUGUGGUUUUGGUUGAAAAUGGGUUUUAAAUCCAACCCAUUUAAAACCCACUUAAGACCCACCUAUCUUAAGUUUUUAAUUAUUAAACUCAUUUAAUUAGUUUCUUCAAAAAAUAAGUAACCCAUAUAUGACCCAUUUAUGAUUUAAAUGGAUCAAUAUGGGUCUAAGACCCAUUUUACCACCUCUAUAUAUCCAAGCCCCAUGUUUUUUUUUUUUUUGUCGGUUCCAAGCGCCACUUAUUGUCCAAGCCCCACAUUGAAGAUAUUCAAAAUUUAACUCCCCUAUCCUUUGUCUCUCUUCAAAAGCUCUGGCCCACUUGCAAACCCUCUCUCUCCCAGUUAGGGCCUACAUAGUAACAUUUAUAUUUCUCUUAAUUUCUGUUCUUUUAUUUCCCGAAACAAAAAAGAAUAGAAAUUCAUUUGGUAAAACUUUUGUUCCCAAGAACAGAUUUGGAACAUAAACAAGAAACAAAAAAAAAAAGUAUCUUCUUGUUCUUGGGAAUAAUUUCUAGAAAUAAGUCAAUUUUUUCUUUUGUUUUUCUUGCUUGCUAUGGCCUUGGGUGGCCACUUGCCAAUUGCCGGCCACCUCUGACCGGCCGCGGCCAUCAUCGGCCGACCAUCGGCCGUUGCCGACCAUUGCCGCCGCCGUUUCAUCGUUGUCGCUACCACCCACAGCCCACCAGCCACCCUCGACCUUCGAUGACCGCCACCAACUGUCGUUGCCGUUGCCAACCACUGGCCGCUGCCGCAGGACCGUCGACCGCCCAUCAUCGCCGCCCCCUAACCACCGUCGCAACCGCCGCCCAUCAUCGCAAUCGUCACCACCCCCCGACCGUCGUCACGGUCCUACGGCGAUGGGCAGCAGCGACGAGCAACAGGCAAUAGUAGGCGGUUCACGAGCAAGAAUAAAAAACAAAUAAAUACAAAAAAUAAAAAAUCGUACCAAUCGCAUUUCUAUUAUUUUUCUAUUUUAAGAAUAGAAAUUUUGUGUAGUUACCAAAUAUCUUAUUUUACUCAAAAAUUAUCCUCCGAAAUAGAAAUAAAAGAGAACUAUUUUUAAAAAGAAACUAUUCCCUGGCCAAGAAAUGUUACCAUGCGCACCCUUAGACUCUUCUCCAUUACGGAGCAAAAAAAAAAUUCCCUUCAUUUAUUAAACCUAGUUCAAAGCACUUUCUCUCUCUCCUUUGCGCUUAAUUAAUCCGCUCCCCCUCUCUCUUAAACUGCUAGCGAACCACCACGCCCCCGCCUCUACCGUCACAUCCCCAGUUGCCGCGCCAACAGCUCUACCUCCGGCUCCGCACUGAAGCAAUCUGCUCUAUUCUCUCUUUCUUUCCUCCGCGAAGCACCCCUGCUCAUGAACAACGAUGCUAACGACACCACCAACACCGUCGCCUCCUGAGCCUCGUCGUCGCCUGUCAAAGCCCCCAUUGGCGGCUCCACUACAUUUCCUAUGUCCGAAUGUUAUGGUUUUUUUAUAGAUUCUGCUUAGUAGAGUUUAAUUUCAUGUUAAUGUGAGGUUAGUGACCGUGAUAGGUUCCCACCGUCACUGUUGAAGCUCGCCUACGCCGUCACCUCCCGAGUUCUUGAAGAGCGAUGUUGGUUCAUCACAGGGGAUUCUUUGCUGGCUUAAUCCAAACCAUCCCGAGACUGCAUGGCCCAAGGCAUAGUUUAAGCUAGGUACCAUCAAUUCAAGUACAACACAAAUAUGUGCCUUUCUAUUUUUCAGUCAAUUAUCACCUUAACUUUUUGAGUUGAGUUCCAUGGUCAUCAAUUUAAGAUUCGGCUUCGUCAGUGAAGAUAAAAGAGUUUCUUUAGUGGUGCUGAAUUGGAUUUAUUAUGGAAUAGUUUUAGUUCGACAAGCAAUGGCUGUCGGUGGAUGAAUACAGCGUCACUGUUGGAGCGGGACUUUACUUCCAUUAUGAUAUCUUUAUCCUUAUAAGGAUUAUGCUUGCUAUGAAUUUCGGGCCUGCUUUCCUAGGGACAACUUUCCAUACUGUUGUAAGCUAAGAGAUCUAGACCUUAUCACAAUUGGAUACAUCCUGGUCUUUGUCACUAUCUUGCUUUGUGGAAAUGGUUUGAUUCGCAACCUUGGUAGUUUGCCAAUUGGACUAGGAAUACUGCUUUGAUGGUGGUUUCUCGCGUUCUCAUCUUCUUCUUCAAGCCAGAGAACACUUCCUCCAUGGUUUCGUUGUCGUGCUCAAGGAACGUCGUGGGUGUAGUCGGAGAAUCUUGUCGAUGCAUCCGGGAGCCUCAUCGGCACAGCAAGAGUCACACUCUCUCCUCCUUUCUGUGGUUGGAGCUCACGAGUCGCUGGUUUUCCUCUUGCACAGCUAACUAAAAAUCUGCCUGAGGGGUGGAAUGAGCUCCAUGGCCGAAGUUUGCUAGCAUACGUAACUGUCAUUUAGGGUUAAAAGAAAUUGAGUUACCUUCUCCCUCUCCCUGAUUUCCUUGUACCAUUUGAGGGUUUGCAAGCUAGGACGAUGCGCGAGUCGACUCACUUCCAAGCUUCAGUCAGCAACGUUUGGAAAAAGAAGAAGAAGAAACCACUCACCUUCAAGCUCUAGUCAGCAACGUUUGCUAGGACGAUGUGCGAAUCGAUUCUACUUUACUUUCACUUGUGAAAAUAAAAUUUACUUUAAAUUGACAGUGUAUACUUUUUCAUUUACUUGAAAAUAUAUAGAUGAAAGACUAGGGCAAGAAAUAGCACAGUCCAAGGCAAAACCGGGGUGGCCAAAAUUGGCCUAAUAUGUUCAGGUCGAAACAAGCCUUCAAGUAGAAUCGAUGGCAUUUUCGGUUCCACUACCCAUUCUAUACGACUACCAAAUUUGUAGGGUAUAGGCGGUGUGGACCGAUUCUAGCGAUCUUUUUCAGAUGAAAAAAUGGAAGUUUGAUCCACAUUUAUUUCACAGAAAAUGAUUGAUUUGGAAAACAUUUUCCCAAAAAUAACUACUUUUGUCUUUUAAAAAAAAAUAAAUGAAUGGAUAAACUUUUCAUCACCCACGAAAAUAGGUAGGUACAAAUUGUUAUUGAUGAUGAAAAUAUUUUAUGUUGACUAAUUUUUCUUAAUGAUAUAAGAAAUCACUUUUCGAAAAAUAUUUUAUAAAUAACUCAAUUUCCACGAAACGAAUGCACUUUUAAUUGUUAAAUUUUACUUUUAUCAAGUUAAAACUUUUAGAUUAGAAGUUUUAGCCAAAAAAAGUAUCAAUUCUUGCUAGAUAAGAGAAUCGGCCUUUAACCGGCAAGUCUUUGUAUCAUUUUUACUCUUGGAGGAUAGGUCAGGGUCAAGUAAGUUUCCAAUUCCAAUUGAAUCCAGACCAUCCAAUCAUGCAGAGAACAUUGCACAAAGUUGAAAUCCUAUCAACGGAUUUUUUGGUGUUCCUAUUCUUUUCACAUCGAAUCAUACAAAUGAAACAACAAGACAUAGCUCAUGUCCGAAUAAGAGAGCUAUCUGAUUAAUUAACUUUCAUGAAGUCAAGAUUUAAUGACCAAGUCAUUAUAUGUUCACGAUAAAGUAAAAAGAAUUGGUAAGUGAACUUAUGAAAAAAAAUAUAUAUUUGAAGGUGUUACACCGGUUUUGAUUCCUGUGAAAAAUCUUUUACCAAACACUGCGUUUUGAUUUUAUUAUAGAAGACUCAGGUUCUAUGUUGAACUUGAACAAAGAAUGUCAAAUGCAAGGAGAAAUAUUAUUCUCAACUUGUAUAUACAACCCUGACAAUUGAUACUUGAAUGGCUUAAAGAGUAACCGCUUCUAAGCACAAAUCACACCAAAAUCUAUUCAAUAAUGUAAUCUAGACACAAGUAGCUAAUAGCCUAUGUUUUAAACUCAAAUUAUGCUGGAAUUUAAUUUACGACACAGCUUGUGAAGAAUUUAACCAACGACACUGGAUUUGUGAAAAAACAUCGGAAUUCAAUCAACGAUGCUGGACCGGAUAGAGAUAUACGUCGGAAUUGAAUCAAUGACAAGAAUCUUGAAAAUUUACAGCUAAAGAACGAUAAAGUAAAGAUAAUUAUUGUGUUUUCCGGGGGUUCUUCAUUGACUAGGUCGUGGUACUUAUAGGGCAAACUAGUAGCCAUCAAUCGGUUUCCUCUCCUUGGGCGUUACUCCUAACAUUCUCCACAUUUUAUAUUUUUUCUUGACACCAUGAACAAUCGCUUCCUGACUUAUCGAUGAUGCUUGCGCAACUUGUUCAUCAAGUAAAUAACGGCUCCCUAUUUUUAUGUGCAUUUCUCUUAGCAGUCAUUUUUGCUUGAACUCCAAUGCUAAUUUCACUCAAACUUCAAAUCUAAUGCAUUAUUCCCACAACUUGACAGGUGGUAAUUAGUUACCUAGCCAUCAACUCUAGAAUUUGUUUCUAGAAUUUCAUUGACACUCGAUUCAAAUCCCUUCCAUGAAUGCUGGCUAUCCCCAACUUUUACAAGCAAAAUGGGGCAUUUUGUUUUUAUUAUUCCCUCGUAGCCAGCACGUGAUACCGAGGGUAAUUUUGGCUAUCAACAAAAGGAUAGUAACAAACGGGAAUGACGUGAUAUUCUUAUAUAUGUGUCUGUAUCCGUAGUAACUAUACGUUUUGCAAAAUUCUUUCUACUUUAUUAAAUAGUAAUUUGUUAAAACGCGAAUCGGGAGACUAGCAAUCAAUUGAGGAAGUAUCGCAAUUUUUAAUACACCAACUAUCUUCUUGAUGUCCACAAACACAAUGGAAAUUCUGAAAAUCGAAAAUCUCAUCAUUAAACAUCUUUAACAAAUGCUUUGCACUAUUUGUCACCGGGACAUUUAUUAAAUAUUUGAGAAUACCUACAUGCGGUCUGAAAAUGCAAUGCAUUAAAUUUUGUUGGUGGGAGAAAUUCGAAAAAACGAGGCUAAUGUAAAUUCUAAGUUAGAAAAUUUUGCUAUAAUGCAAAAGAGUAGCUGUUGCUUGUCUAGUUGUUCCUGUAAUAUGUGAUUGUUUAGGUUCAUGUUAUUGAAUUUUUCUGUUGCAGAUUAGAUGUCACUGUAUUGAAUUGGAAAUGAAGAAAAGAUUUGUGGGUUUUUUCCCCAUUCUAACCCUUGUUUUCGUAUCAAGGCAUCUAAGAGUCUCAAGAAUAGUCAUUACUUUUUAGUUCACUAGAAAAAAAAAUUAUAGAAAAUGCAUACUCUUGUUAUUUCCCUGGCUCGCGAUGCCGGGAAAAAUAUAAAUUUUCUAUGUAAUUAGGAUCAAAUGUACCCAUCUACCAAUAAUAUCAUAAUGCUUCAAUUUCUACUUGUAAAUUUGAUUUUCAUAUAAUAAUCUCAUAAUUGAUGGAUUGAAGUGAAAAAACAAAAGAAAUUAAAGUAACUUCUAUACUAAAAAUAUGUUGAAAACAUAAAAGUUCAUUUAAUAGAUUUAAUUAGUAAUAAAAGGAGGAAAUAAGGAAAAUGAUUAAGUUACAUUCACUCGUGUUUGAUUGGGAAUAAGAGAAAAUAAUAUAUAUAUAUAUAUAUAUAUAUAUAUAUAUAUAUAUGUCUAUGUCUAUGUAUGUAUAUAUUACCAACAAAAGAAAAAGGGCCGAAACGCCAGAGUUGUGAGUCAGACCCUCACCGUCAUUAUAGUUUGAAAACAGUGAUUGUUUUCUGAAAGACUUUAUUAUAUUUUAUAGAAUAAUUAUUCAAUGUAUUUGUAUUAAAACUAUAAUAUAAUAACAAUGAUGUCCAAAAUUGAAAUUAAUUCAUUAUCCUUAAUUAGUUUGAUUAUUUUUAUUAUCAACUUCUUAAGUGUCUCCCAAACAUUGAAAUGGCAAUCUUGACCGUUCCAUUCCUUUCCAUUACUUAAGACCAAGUCUGACCAGUCAUUCGAAGAGCAUCAACAACCUCACUUUGAAUCUCAUAUUCAUGUUUAGUUCUAAGUUGUUGUGGGCGAUAAAAGAAGUCCAUCCAUAUGUAAUUUUAAACGUCAGAUUGUAACAAAAUAAUGUAACCCGUUGGAUUUAAUUGAUUAAAUCAAUAAAGGAAUUGAUAAGUGAUUUCUUAUAGAAAAAAUUGCUAGUUAUUGAGCCAUUCGUGUUAAAUGGAGAUUAUAACAGGGAAAUAGUAAUAAUUAUACAUGCAUUCAUAAAAAUUGCAUACCGAAUAUAAAUAAGUAUAAUUUCUAAUAAAUAUUGGAUAUUUGCAGUAGAAAACAUCUAAUGAUAGAACCUUUACCAAAAAAAAACAUCUAAUGAUAGAACAACUGAUCAAUAGGGAGAAAUGCAAUAAACAAGCCUCACUGGAAGUAGCGUCCAUGUUUAUGAUGUCAUACCGAUAUGCUUUGGUUAGUUCGGGCUUCUCGGUCGUCUGGUCUUUCGACGGGGAUGCAGCAGCAAAAUCAUCUCCCUACACCAUUUCCAACUGCACUAAAUGAAGAAACUGGCCUCGCACAAUGCAUUCGGAUAAUGUAUGUCGGCUUCUGCAAGGUUCAUCUCAAAAGUUCUCAGAGUAAUCGCUCGCAUUCGAUGUUCGAGACCAGUACUCCUUGUAAAGCUGCCCGAACAAUGAAUCUUCCUUGCCUACCAAUUUCAUAGGCUCAUCAUACUCCAC